UACGUAGGGUGCGAGCGUUGUCCGGAAUUACUGGGCGUAAAGAGCUCGUAGGUGGCUUGUCGCGUUGUUCGUGAAAACCGGGGGCUUAACCCUCGGCGUGCGGGCGAUACGGGCAGACUGGAGUACUGCAGGGGAGACUGGAAUUCCUGGUGUAGCGGUGGAAUGCGCAGAUAUCAGGAGGAACACCGGUGGCGAAGGCGGGUCUCUGGGCAGUAACUGACGCUGAGGAGCGAAAGCGUGGGGAGCGAACAGG
rnacentral:rRNA from 1 species